GCCCCAUCCCGAGCCGCCCACCUAGCCCGGACGCCAGCAGGAACUGCCUCCUUGGGUCCCAAGGCGGUUGCAGGGCUGUGGCCAGAUGGGCACACCUCCCACUCCCUCCCAGGAGACCCCUCUCACCCCACCCCCACCCCGAGGGCACCCUUCUUCCAGGUCCCGAGGUCCCCCGUCCAGGCCCCAGUCUCCCCUUUCCUUCCUGGAACCGCAGCCUCCGCGAGCUCCGCCCUGCAUCCCAGGGCCCCGGUGGCCGGCUCCGCCUUUGCUGGGUACUUGGCUGUGUGGCCGGGGCUGGGCCAGGCCAGAUAUAAAGCAGCCUCGGCUCGGCUGGCAGCACCCACAAGCCUCCUAAGACCUUGCCCCAGCCACCAGCCCCGCCACUCAGCGCACCCCGGAGCCAUGACUGGCAGAAAAGCAUUGAUCGUACUGGCUCACGCAGAGAGGACAUCCUUCAACUAUGCCAUGAAGGAAGCUGCUGUAGAGGCUCUGAAGAGGAAAGGAUGGGGGGUCACUGUGUCAGACCUGUAUGCCAUGAACUUCAAUCCCGUCAUCUCCAGAAAGGACAUUACAGGUAAACUGAAGGACCCUGAGAACUUUAAGUAUCCUGCCGAGUCUGUUCUGGCUUAUAAAGAAGGCCGUCUGAGCCCAGAUAUUGUGGCUGAACAAAAGAAGCUGGAAGCUGCAGACCUUGUGAUUUUUCAGUUCCCACUGCAGUGGUUUGGAGUCCCUGCCAUCCUGAAAGGCUGGUUUGAGCGAGUGCUCAUCGGGGAGUUUGCUUACACGUACGCUGCCAUGUAUGACAAGGGACCUUUCCGGAACAAGAAGGCAGUGCUGUCCAUCACCACUGGUGGUAGCGACUCCAUGUACUCUCUGCAGGGAGUCCACGGGGACAUGAACAUCAUUCUCUGGCCAAUUCAGAGUGGCACUCUGCAUUUCUGUGGCUUCCAGGUCUUAGAACCUCAACUGACAUACAGCAUUGGGCACAUUCCCGCGGAUGCCCGACUUCAGGUCCUGGAAGGAUGGAAGAAACGCCUGGAGAAUAUCUGGGAUGAGACUCCACUAUAUUUUGCUCCAAGUAGUUUCUUUGACCUAAACUUUCAGGCAGGAUUCUUAAUGAAAAAGGAGGUCCAGGAAGAGCAGAAAGCUAAGAAGUUUGGCCUUUCUGUGGGCCAUCACUUGGGCAAGUCCAUUCCAACUGACAACCAGAUCAAAGCCAGAGAAUAAGACUCACAAGGCUUGAUUUUCUUCUAAAAUGUAGCCAAGUCUAGGUUUCUUCUUCAGGCUUCCUUUAGUUUUUAAGAUUUGUGCCUUUCUUUUUCCACGAGGAAUGAAUAUAAGAGAGAUUAGACUAUUCAUACAUUUUUCAAUAGUUUUUUUUAAAACAUAACUGAUUUUUACAAUUGCUAUCAUGGCAACAUCUGAUUAGGUUCAAGAGGCCAUUUAAAAUAUAAAGCAGGGAAAGGUGUAGAAAGGUGCUAGAAAAUAUUCUUUAAGGUCCUGUGUACAACUUAAUCCUUCUCUUAGGGACACAUUUUUAGGGUUAAAUCUGGCUACAAAACAUCUAACUCUUCAAUGAUCUAUUUUUCUUUUAAUUAUCUCUCUGUGGUUUGCAGCAAAAGGGAAUUGCCCAGAGAAAGCAAUGACUGAAUCGGUCAGACCUAAGGGACUUGUUUGUGAUAUGCAUUGGUUUUAAUUACUACAUAGUGACUGGUAUGGCUAAUCUGAGUGUUACUCUUCCUUUAACUUCUGUUGUUUGUAUACAGUACACACAGGUAUCUUGAAAUGAAAAGCUAAUAAAAGUCUCCUUUACCUCAAUCUUCUAA